CUUCGGCCCGAGUUGUAAUUUGUAGAGGAUGUUUAUGGUGCGGUACCUUCCGAGUUCCCUGGAACGGGACGCCACAGAGGGUGAGAGCCCCGUCUGGUUGGAUACCAAACCUGUGUUAAACUCCUUCAACGAGUCGAGUAGUUUGGGAAUGCUGCUCUAAAUGGGAGGUAAAUCUCUUCUAAAGCUAAAUACCGGCCAGAGACCGAUAGCGCACAAGUAGAGUGAUCGAAAGAUGAAAAGCACCUUGAAAAGGGGGUUAAACAGUACGUGAAAUUGUUGAAAGGGAAGCGUUUAUGACCAGACUUGUGCCGUGUGGCUCAUCCGAGGUUCUCCCCGGUGCACUCCACACGGUUCAGGCCAACAUCGGUUUUCGCUGGGGGAUAAGAACAGUAGGAACGUAGCUCCCCUCGGGGAGUGUUAUAGCCUAUUGUACGAUACCCUGGCGGGGACCGAGGACC
rnacentral:rRNA from 1 species